rnacentral:rRNA from 1 species
GACGAACGCUGGCGGCGUGCUUAACACAUGCCAGUCGAACGGAAAGGCCCUGCGUUUGUUGGGUUCUCGAUUGGCGAACGGGUGAGUAACACGCGAGUAACCUGCCCUUGUCUUUGGGAUAACUCUAGGAAACUGGGGCUAAUACCGGAUAGGAGCUCCUGCUGCAUGUUGUGGGUUGGAAAGUGUCGGCGGUGGGGGAUGGACUCGCGGGUUAUCCGCUUGUUGGUGGGGUAGUGGCUUACCAAGGCUUUGACGGGUAGCCGGCCUGAGAGGGUGACCGGCGACAUUGGGACUGAGAUACGGACCAGACUCCUACGGGCGGCAGCAGUGGGGAAUAUUGCACAAUGGGCGGAAGCCAGAUGCAGCAACGCCGCGUGCGGGAUGACGGCCUUCGGGUUGUAAACCGCUUUCGCCUGUGACGAAGCGUGAGUGACGGUAAUGGGUAAAGAAGCACCGGCUAACUACGUG